rnacentral:rRNA from 1 species
AUGAACGCUGGCGGCGUGCCUAAUACAUGCAAGUCGCGCGAACGGACGAGAAGCUUGCUUCUCUGAUGUUAGCGGCGGACGGGUGAGUAACACGUGGAUAACCUACCUAUAAGACUGGGAUAACUUCGGGAAACCGGAGCUAAUACCGGAUAAUAUUUUGAACCGCAUGGUUCAAAAGUGAAAGACGGUCUUGCUGUCACUUAUAGAUGGAUCCGCGCUGCAUUAGCUAGUUGGUAAGGUAACGGCUUACCAAGGCAACGAUGCAUAGCCGACCUGAGAGGGUGAUCGGCCACACUGGAACUGAGACACGGUCCAGACUCCUACGGGAGGCAGCAGUAGGGAAUCUUCCGCAAUGGGCGAAAGACUGACGGAGCAACGCCGCGUGAGUGAUGAAGGUCUUCGGAUCGUAAAACUCUGUUAUUAGGGAAGAACAUAUGUGUAAGUAACUGUGCACAUCUUGACGGUACCUAAUCAGAAAGCCACGGCUAACUACGUG